GGGGAGCUAGCUCAAUUUGGCAGAGCAAGCGGCUCUUAACCGCUAGGUUCAGGGUUCGAGUCCCUGGCUCCCCACCA
rnacentral:tRNA from 1 species